rnacentral:rRNA from 1 species
AUUGAACGCUGGCGGAAUGCUUUACACAUGCAAGUCGAACGGUAGAGGGGGCAACCCCUCGAGAGUGGCGAACGGGUGAGUAAUAUAUCGGAACAUGCCCAGUCGUGGGGGAUAACGUAGCGAAAGUUACGCUAAUACCGCAUACGAUCUAAGGAUGAAAGCGGGGGAUCGCAAGACCUCGCGCGAUUGGAGCGGCCGAUAUCAGAUUAGGUAGUUGGUGGGGUAAAGGCUCACCAAGCCAACGAUCUGUAGCUGGUCUGAGAGGACGACCAGCCAGACUGGAACUGAGACACGGUCCAGACUCCUACGGGAGGCAGCAGUGGGGAAUUUUGGACAAUGGACGCAAGUCUGAUCCAGCCAUUCCGCGUGCAGGAUGAAGGCCCUCGGGUUGUAAACUGCUUUUGUACGGAACGAAAAGGUCUCUCUUAAUACGGGGGACUCAUGACGGUACCGUAAGAAUAAGCACCGGCUAACUACGUGCCAGCCGCCGCGGUAA